AGCAGCCGCGGUAAUUCCAGCUCCAAUAGCGUAUAUUAAAGUUGUUGCAGUUAAAAAGCUCGUAGUUGAACUUCGGAAUUUGCCCAUUGGUCAGGCUUAACUGUCUGAACUGGUGUGACGAGUUCCUACCUUCUGAGGAAUCUUCAUGCCAUUCAGUUGGUGUGGGGGGAAAUCAGGACUGUUACUUUGAAAAAUUAGAGUGUUUAAAGCAGGCAUCCGUCUGAAUACAUUAGCAUGGAAUAAUAAAAUAGGACGGUUUGGUUCUAUUUUGUUGGUUUCUAGGAUCACCGUAAUGAUUAAUAGGGAUAGUUGGGGGCAUUAGUAUUCAAUUGUCAGAGGUGAAAUUCUUGGAUUUAUGAAGACUAACUACUGCGAAAGCAUUUGCCAAGGAUGUUUUCAUUAAUCAAAGAACGAAAAGUUAGGGGGAUCGAAGACGAUCAGAUACCGUCGUAGUCUUAACCAUAAACUAUGCCGACUAGGAUCGGACGAAGUUAAUUUAAAUGACUCGUCGGCACCUUAC
rnacentral:misc_RNA from 1 species